rnacentral:rRNA from 1 species
ACGAACGCUGGCGGCAUGCCUCACACAUGCAAGUCGAACGAGACCUUCGGGUCUAGUGGCGCACGGGUGCGUAACGCGUGGGAACCUGCCCUUAGGUUCGGAAUAACUCCCCGCAAGGGGUGCUAAUACCGGAUAAUGUCUUCGGACCAAAGAUUUAUCGCCUUUGGAUGGGCCCGCGUUGGAUUAGCUAGUUGGUAGGGUAAAAGCCUACCAAGGCGACGAUCCAUAGCUGGUCUGAGAGGAUGAUCAGCCACACUGGGACUGAGACACGGCCCAGACUCCUACGGGAGGCAGCAGUGGGGAAUAUUGGACAAUGGGCGAAAGCCUGAUCCAGCAAUGCCGCGUGAGUGAUGAAGGCCUUAGGGUUGUAAAGCUCUUUUACCCGGGAUGAUAAUGACAGUACCGGGAGAAUAAGCUCCGGCUAACUCCGUG